GAUGAACGCUGGCGGCGUGCCUAAUACAUGCAAGUCGAGCGAACCGACGAGGAGUUUGCUCCUCUGACGUUAUCGGCGGUCGGGUGAGUAACUCGUGGAUAACCUACCUAUCCGACUGGGAUACCUUCGGGAAACCGGAGCUACUACCGGAUAAUAUAUUGAACCGCAUGGUUCAAUAGUGAAAGACGGUUUUGCUGUCACUUAUAGAUGGAUCCGCGCCGCAUUCGUUAGUUGGGAAGGUAAUGGGUUACCAAGGCAACGAUGCGUAGCCGACCUAAGAGGGAGAACGGCCAGAUGGGAACAGAGACAGGGUCCAGACACCGACGGGAGGCAACGGUAGGGAAUCUUCCGCAAGGGGGGAAAGCCUGACGGAGCAACGCGGCGGAAGUGAUGAAGGUCUUCUGAUCGGAAAGCUCUGUUAUUAGGGAAGAACAAAAGUGUAAUUAACUAUGCACGUCAUGACGGUACCUAGACAGAAAGCCACGGCUAACUACGUG
rnacentral:rRNA from 1 species